GAUGAACGCUGGCGGCGUGCCUAAUACAUGCGAGUCGAGCGAACGGACGAGAAGCUUGCUUCUCUGAUGUUAGCGGCGGACGGGUGAGUAACACGUGGAUAACCUACCUAUAAGACUGGGAUAACUUCGGGAAACCGUAGCUAAUACCGGAUAAUAUUUUGAACCGCAUGGUUCAAAAGUGAAAGACGGUCUUGCUGUCACUUAUAGAUGGAUCCGCGCUGCAUUAGCUAGUUGGUAAGGUAACGGCUUACCAAGGCAACGAUGCAUAGCCGACCUGAGAGGGUGAUCGGCCACACUGGAACUGAGACACGGUCCAGACUCCUACGGGAGGCAGCAGUAGGGAAUCUUCCGCAAUGGGCGAAAGCCUGACGGAGCAACGCCGCGUGAGUGAUGAAGGUCUUCGGAUCGUAAAACUCUGUUAUUAGUGAAGAACAUAUGUGUAAGUAACUGUGCACAUCUUGACGGUACCUAAUCAGAAAGCCACGGCUAACUACGUG
rnacentral:rRNA from 1 species